rnacentral:rRNA from 1 species
GAUGAACGCUGGCGGCGUGCCUAAUACAUGCAAGUCGAGCGAACGGACGAGAAGCUUGCUUCUCUGAUGUUAGCGGCGGACGGGUGAGUAACACGUGGAUAACCUACCUAUAAGACUGGGAUAACUUCGGGAAACCGGAGCUAAUACCGGAUAAUAUUUUGAACCGCAUGGUUCAAAAGUGAAAGACGGUCUUGCUGUCACUUAUAGAUGGAUCCGCGCUGCAUUAGCUAGUUGGUAAGGUAACGGCUUACCAAGGCAACGAUGCAUAGCCGACCUGAGAGGGUGAUCGGCCACACUGGAACUGAGACACGGUCCAGACUCCUACGGGAGGCAGCAGUAGGGGAUCUUCCGCAAUGGGCGAAAGCCUGACGGAGCAACGCCGCGUGAGUGAUGAAGGUCUUCGGAUCGUAAAACUCUGUUAUUAGGGAAGAACAUAUGUGUAAGUAACUGUGCACAUCUUGACGGUACCUAAUCAGAAAGCCACGGCUAACUACG